UACGAAGGGGGCUAGCGUUGCUCGGAAUCACUGGGCGUAAAGCGCACGUAAGCGGACUCUUAAGUCGGUGGUGAAAUCCUGGAGCUCAACUCCAGAACUGCCUUCGAUACUGAGAGUCUCGAGUCCGAGAGAGGUGAGUGGAACUGCGAGUGUAGAGGUGAAAUUCGUAGAUAUUCGCAAGAACACCAGUGGCGAAGGCGGCUCACUGGCUCGGUACUGACGCUGAGGUGCGAAAGCGUGGGGAGCAAACAGG
rnacentral:rRNA from 1 species